rnacentral:rRNA from 1 species
AGACCCGAAACCCGGUGAUCUAGCCAUGGGCAGGUUGAAGGUUGGGUAACACUAACUGGAGGACCGAACCGACUAAUGUUGAAAAAUUAGCGGAUGACCUGUGGCUGGGGGUGAAAGGCCAAUCAAACCGGGAGAUAGCUGGUUCUCCCCGAAAGCUAUUUAGGUAGCGCCUCGUGAAUUCAUCUCCGGGGGUAGAGCACUGUUUCGGCUAGGGGGCCAUCCCGGCUUACCAACCCGAUGCAAACUGCGAAUACCGGAGAAUGUUAUCACGGGAGACACACGGCGGGUGCUAACGUCCGUCGUGAAGAGGGAAACAACCCAGACCGCCAGCUAAGGUCCCAAAGUCAUGGUUAAGUGGGAAACGAUGUGGGAAGGCCCAGACAGCCAGGAUGUUGGCUUAGAAGCAGCCAUCAUUUAAAGAAAGCGUAAUAGCUCACUGGUCGAGUCGGCCUGCGCGGAAGAUGUAACGGGGCUAAACCAUGCACCGAAGCUGCGGCAGCGACACUAUGUGUUGUUGGGUAGGGGAGCGUUCUGUAAGCCUGUGAAGGUGGCCUGUGAGGGUUGCUGGAG